AUGCUUGACAUUCCUUGAUAUUGGUAUCAAUUUGUUGUAAAAUAGAAAUUGAAAAUGUAGCAGUUUUACCAGUUCCUGUUGAACAUUCCACAAAUUAGAAACGAAAUUCUAUUAUUUCUAUAUCAAAGCAUAUAUUAUGAUUUUGUUACCUGAUUGUGCCUGCGCGAUCACAUCGUGUCCUCUUAUACAUGGCAGAAUGGCACGUUGUUGAAUUGCAGAUGGUUUUUCAAAGCCAUAAGCAUAAAUACCACGUAGUAAUUCUUCUUUUAGGUUCAUUUCAUCAAAGUUGUCAACGACCUAUUGGAUUCGAUGAUCCCAUCGGGCUCCAUGCCAGGGGGGCCAUCGUAUGUCUGUUGAUCACUUUCACUAGGACCAUUUUUGGAAUCUCCUGCCCAUUGAUCAUCGUUUCUGAAAUACAAAUGACACAUAAGAAUAAAAAUUUGAUUUUUAUUUUAAAUAUAUAACUGUAUAAUUUACAGUAGAAUAUAUCUAAAAAAAAAUUUAUUUCAUUUAUAGCAUUUAAUUUUUUAGUUCUAAUCAGUGGUACCAGGAAUGAAUAAACUGUUCCAGUAACUUGCAUUAUAUGUUUACUCCAAAAUCAAAUGUAUAAAUAAUGUUGAAUCCCAGCGACCUUGAACCGUAAAAAUCCGACAUAGUAUUUCAAUUUCGCGACGAAUGUUAAAAGGUAUUUUAUCUCAAUAAAAUAGGAAUUCUUCGUUAAAAAGUGUCUGAUUUCCUAUAAAUGUAUCAACAAUGCCUUUAGAUAAUCCUGCAGAUAUGAUAAUGAAUUUAUCGAUGACUUGAUAGAUGCGUUGACAGUGACUCACGCGAAAGCAUGCCCCAGCAAGACGAGUCUCGAUUGUAUGAGACAUAAUGCCUACAAUUUUAUGUAGCAUUGUUGAACAUUAUUCGAUUCGCACCAUUUUUACUAGCCUUACCAAAGAAAAUCCAUUUUUUAUUACGUAAUUUUAAAUGCAAAGUAAAACGUGUUUGCAAGUACGAGUAGAGAGCAUGCAGUUCCUAUAAUAAAAUUUCUCAAAUAUAUUUUUCUGAGAGUUUGGCGACCUACCGUAUGGAUACCCAUUAUGACUUCUAAUCACAACAAUUAUAGAGGUUAUAAAAAUGAAGAAGUACGAGGGAUUAACGUUAAUUUUUUGAACAAUGUGACAAAAAUGAAUGCACGCCAUGUUGUCAGUCUCGUGUCCCAUGCAUUCGCUGAUUGCGGCACUAUUUUUUAAGGAUAUAUCGUGAAGUGUUGACGUCCAACCGCGUGUCGCGCCAGAUUUACAGAGGCACAACG
rnacentral:misc_RNA from 1 species